GACGAACGCUGGCGGCGUGCUUAACACAUGCAAGUCGAGCGGAAAGGCCACUUCGGUGGUACUCGAGCGGCGAACGGGUGAGUAACACGUGAGUAAUCUGCCCCUCACUUCGGGAUAGCUCCGGGAAACCGGGAUUAAUACCGGAUAUGAGCACCGGCUGCAUGGUCUGGUGUUGGAAAGUUUUUUCGGUGGGGGAUGUGCUCGCGGGCUAUCAGCUUGAUGGUGGGGUAAUUGCCUACCAUGGCUUCGACGGGUAGCCGGCCUGAGAGGGUGACGAGCCACACUGGGAUUGAGACGGGGCCCAGACUCCUACGGGAGGCAGCAGUGGGGAAUAUUGGACAAUGGGCGGAAGCCUGAUCCAGCAACGCCGCGUGAGGGAUGACGGCCUUCGGGUUGUAAACCUCUUUCAGCGCCGACGAAGCCUUCGGGUGACGGUAGGUGCAGAAGAAGGACCGGCCAACUAUGUGCCAGCCGCCGCCGUAAAAC
rnacentral:rRNA from 1 species